UACGGGGGGGGGCAAGCGUUGUUCGGAAUUACUGGGCGUAAAGCGCGCGUAGGCGGCUUUGCAAGUCGGGUGUGAAAUCCCCAGGCCUAACCUGGGAACUGCAUUCGAGACUGCAUGGCUAGAGUAUCGGAGAGGGAAGUGGAAUUUCAGGUGUAGCGGUGAAAUGCGUAGAUAUCUGAAGGAACAUCAGUGGCGAAAGCGACUUCCUGGACGAAUACUGACGCUCAUGUGCGAAAGCGUGGGGAGCAAACAGG
rnacentral:rRNA from 1 species